rnacentral:rRNA from 1 species
UGAGGAAUCUUGCGCAAUGGGCGAAAGCCUGACGCAGCGACGCCGCGUGGAGGAUGAAGGUCUUCGGAUUGUAAACUUCUGUUAAGUGGGAAGAAACGCGCGGAGUUAAUACCUCCGUGUAAUGACGGUACCAUUAUAGAAAGCACCGGCUAACUUCGUGCC